ACUCAGGCUCCUAUCGAAGCCGGUCAUGCUCUGCUGUAGCAGUGGCCGGUCAACAGGAAGCCCAGAUGAAAUCUUUCACCGACGGUCGCUGUUCAGUUGAAUAGUAACUGCUCCAGCAACAUUUAGGGAAAGGACACCU
ensembl:snoRNA